UGGGAAGUAGCUUAAUUGGCAGAGCAGGGGCCUUUGGAGCCCAAGGUUACAGGUUCGAGUCCUGUCUUCCCAG
rnacentral:tRNA from 1 species